GGACAUGAGUCAGGCAAGGCUACCCGCUGAAUUUAAGCAUAUAAGUAAGCGGAGGAAAAGAAACCAAAUGGGAUUCCCCUAGUAAUGGCGAAUGAACAGGGAUCGGCUCAAAUUGAGAAUCGUCGCCAUCUUGAUAUGGCGGUGAAUUGUAGUCUGAAGGUGGUUACCAGUGAGGACGCCAGAGUAAUUCUCUUGGGAUAGAGCUUCGUAGAGGGUGAGAUACCCGUCUGCCUCUAGCUUUCUCCUCACGUACGGUAGCACCCUAAUGAGUCGCGUUCCUCGGAAUUGGAGCGCUAAGUAGGUGGUAAAUUUCACCUAAAGCUAAAUAUUGAACCGAGACCGAUAGUAAACAAGUACCGUGAGGGAAAGGUGAAAAGGACUUUGGAAAGAGAGUUAAAAGUGCCUGAAAUCGCUGGAAUGUAAGCGAAUGGAACUAGUUCCAGCCAGUGAGAUUGCAUGCAGAAGCUAGUCAGGCCCUUUGCUGUUUCGUCUACUUAUUUUAUAGGUGGAGUUCGUAGGGGUGCUCUUUGGUUAGUUGAUGUGUGCGAUACUCGCUGGAGGACGUCAACAUCAGUGCAAUUGUAAAGGGAUAUUGAAUGGGGUCUCUUUAGGGAUCCUUACGGGUCUCUAUACCCAUUUUAAUUGUUUACUUUUCGUACUGAGGACAUAAUCUUAAGCGUUUGGAGGUGUCAGCGAUGUCACAAAUACCUUUCGUGUAUUAUUUUAUCGUGAAGGCUGGGUCCACUGCUUGCACUGUGGGCUUUUCUCAGCGGUAAGUGUCGUCGCUUAUCUUUCAUUCCACGAUGUUGACUAAAUGGUUCUAUCCGACCCGUCUUGAAACACGGACCAAGGAGUCUAACUUAUGCGCAAGUAUGUGGGUGCAAAACCCGUAUGCGAAAUGAAAGUGACAGUUGGUAUUAAUAUUUAUUUUAUUAUUGCUCCAACGACCGACCACGAUCUUCGGAAAGAGGUUUGAGUAAGAGCGUAGAGGUUAGGACCCGAAAGAUGGUGUACUAUGCCUGGGUAGGGCGAAGCCUGGGGAAACUCAGGUGGAGGCUCGUAGCGAUA
rnacentral:rRNA from 1 species